rnacentral:lncRNA from 1 species
GUAUUUUCAUUUUACAUACUCUGGACUCCUAAGCCCGUCCGAACCAGACCAUACGAAGUUAUCAACAAAUAUUACUGCAAAUUCAAGUUACAAUUUACUGCCACAAAACAACAUUUUUCCAAAUGUGCAUUGAUUCCAAGUGGAAUAGAAACUAGAAAGGCUCAUCAAAUUGCAAUUUGAUGUUCAUCUAACCUAUCUAUAAACAGACACUUAAAGUGCAAUUAAGUAGACCAUAGCUUGCACCAAUAGACUUCAAAAGUAGUGCAUAAAUGAGCACGCAUGAUCCUUUGAUGAAGAUUCAGGACUGUCAUCAUCUUCCUGAAUUUUUGCACCACGGCGCUUUCUUCUCAAUAUACUCAACCUACUCACAAGAACACCAGAAAACCUACCCUUCAAAGCCUUCCCUCUGUCUCUACCCGUCUCAAAACUAUCACCUUCAAACAAAGUUUCGGAUCUUACUGCUUCUUCUUCUCUUUCUCUCUUACCACUUUCUUUCCCUUUGCACCCCUCAUGCAACUGUUCUGUUUGCUGAUUACCACGACAAAGUCGACCAAAAUAGUACAAGGUUCAAUGUAGCAUGAGGAGGAAGCCACAAUGCCCUUGAGGGUGGUUGGUUUGAC